rnacentral:rRNA from 1 species
CAAUAGCGUAUAUUAAAGCUGUUGCGGUUAAAAAGCUCGUAGUUGGAUUUCUGUCAAGGACAACUGGUCCGCCCUCCGGGUGAGCACAUAGUUUGGUCUUGGCAUCUUGUUCAAAACUGUUACUGCGCUUGGUUGUGUGGUGCAGUUUUGGGCACUUUCACUUUGAGGAAAUUGGAGUGUUUCAAGCAGGCACAUGCCUUUGGACACAGUAGCAUGGAAUAAUUAGAUUGGGCUUUUGCUCCAACUUGUCGGUUCCUGGAGCUGAGGUGAGAAUCAAUGGGGAUUGCUGGGGGCAUCUGAAUUUAGCCGUCAGAGGUGAAAUUCUUGGAUCUGCUAAAGACGGACAACUGCGAAAGCGUUUGCCCAGGAUGUUUUCAUUGA